rnacentral:pre_miRNA from 1 species
GACUUCAGAAUCUCCCCGUCACCUGCUCCUCAGAUCAGAAGGUGAUUGUGGCUUUGGGUGGAUAUUAAUCAGCCACAGCACUGCCUGGUCAGAAAGAGCAAGUGUCCUAGCCUUUACCUCAUG